ACGAGCGUAGCUUCCUUGUCGUGUGGCCUCAGUCCUUCGCCGUCCCUCGCCGUCCUUCGCCAUCGCACGCCACCGCACCCCAUCUCUCGAAAUCUGCAGACAUCUUGAUUUUUCCCACGCUGUCUGUCAGGUCUCCGCCGCCACUCGACGCCAGGGCGCCGGGUGAGUCCACAGCAGGGCGCAUGGUCGGCUCCACUCUCACCAUCGGGGGAAACUGAGGCCCCGGGGAAGGCGGCCAGAGAGGUCAGGCCCUGUCCUUGGUGCAGUGUCUCGUCCUCUUUGCCGGAGUGAGCCCCCCAGGAUUCGCGUGUCCUCGGGAAAGACACUGGCAGGCCUUGUGGGCUGUGCUGCACCUCGGACGGCUUCGCACCAGCCAGCGCCCUCUCUCUCCUGCAGCACUCUGAUCUGCACCCCCUGAGGGGCUUCCACUGUCCGCGGGGUGAGAAUGCCCCUGGGAGUGUCACAUGACUGCCGCCCCAUGUGUGUGAGAGGCGUCCUCUGGGAGAGCAUGGAUCCUGAGGUCCCAGGAUUGUCAGCUGACCUCUGUCCUGUGUGCCCAGUGGCCCCAGGUGACGUGUCUUCAAGAAGAGGCUGAGCUGCGGUGCUUGUAAGAGUCAUGUGCUGUUCCUGGGGCUUGGAUGAUGUAGGGGAAGCAAGGUGAAAGUGGUAUCCCGUGGUUCCACGUUCUGUCCUGCUGUGGGGCUGUCCCUCACAUGCUUUCAGUGGCUGUUGCAGAGGAAGAGCCUCCGGAAAUCUGCGUGGGUAAAGUGAGCUCCCCGGGGGAACCGUCCUCCUCCCUUGAGCGCUGGUGUGUCCAUAGUGUGCUGUGAUCUGGAUUAGCAGUGAGUUUUUCUUUCAGGGUGUGUGUGUAUGAUGUUAGGACCAUAUGCUCCUGACCUUUUCCAACCCAAAAGCGUUUCCAUUUUUUUAAUGCUGGAAGUGUCUUAACUCCUUUUGGGGUCUUAGAAGGACACACGGUGGCCGUGGCUGGGCCUCUGCUCAGCUGGGCUGCUCUCCCUGCCUCAGGCCCUUGACACCAGCCUCCCUCCCUUGCUGGCUCUCUUUCUGUCCUUCCCUGCUCUUGUAUCCAAAAGUGAUCAUGGGUUGCCUGUGUCCCGAUCAUUAACAGUGCAGGGGUAGGAGUGCUGAAAGACAUCUUCCCUGCGUUGGUCCAGCCUUCCCUUUCAAACCCUGGAGCUUUCCCACGCUGCAGCCUUUUUCCAACUAGGCUUUCAGAGCUUGGGCCUUUGUGGGCCCAUGUGAUGUGGUGACUAGACCCACCCCCUGACUUCUGAGGGUUCAUUUUGUCUUUUCAUGUUAGGGAUCCUCCUGCCAGAAACCAGUCUGCAUUUCUCUCUGGGCCCCACGCUGGAAUGAAUUCAGAUAGCAGUGAAGGGCACACGUGAGAACUGCGAAUCACGGGCUUUGCUUCAUGAAAUGUGAAAUCCACAUUGUUUCCACAGGCACCAUCAGUAAUGUCGAACAAAUGGAGAAAGUUGCAGGUGGGGCUAGGAAAGCUGUAUUCCUGUGGAUUACUCUAGCUGGUCAUUUGCCCCGAUUGUGAACUGCUUGAAAGAAAAACGAAACUUCUAAGAUGUUUGUCCUUUCAUGUCCUUUCUGUUGGGAUUUUUUAUUUGGUGUGCGUGAAUGAGGAGCUUCGCCCUGCUUGAAUGGGACCCCUCUCAGUGGUGUCAGCUUGGGGAGGAGGAGAUGGCCCUGGAGACUAAAUACUUGUAUGCUUUCUUACCCUCUUAGGUCUCAGCCUUAGAUCCAAGGACAGUCCAAGGAAGUCCUAAGACCAUGGAGUUGGUGAUCUGGGAUCUGGGUUUGCUGAUAUUUCUCACCGUGAAUCUCUUGGUGGUGUUUGUGGGCACGAGAGGGGCAGAGAAUGGAGAGUGAGGCUACCACAUGAAGCGUCACCAGAGCUGCUCCCUGCUGCCUGCUCAGAGCACCCCGGAUCCACUGUUCAAUCUGCACAAGAUUCGGGGUCCAGACAUGGGAGACUUCAGCUGCCUCAGAGGACCGUGGACAGGGAAGGCCAGCCUCGCAUCCCUCUGUCCAUGCCUGGAAUGACUUUAAUAACCAAGAGUUUUAUUUUUGAAUUUGUAGCUGUCGUUCACUUUUUACCCACCCAUUCAAUAAACCUUACAGAAUUGC
rnacentral:lncRNA from 1 species